UUUUUGUGUGGAGUUACAAUCAAAUGUGUCUUGCGAUGAAACUAUAAUAUCCUCAGGGCAAGUUUCAAUUGGUUUCAUUGAUUUGGUAACUGUGCCAGUUGGAUUUUAUGGGAUGAAACUCCCCUCUUCUCUCUUCUCAUAAUUAAGUUGCUAAGUCAGCAAAACUGCUUAUGUGGCAUAGGAUUUAAUGGCCCGUGAAACCUCGCUGAAACCGGCCUAAAAGCCAGGAGACUCAUGCGGGCUUUUAAUGUUCACGCUGUUUUUGCCAAGAUGGCCGGCCCAAAAACAAGCCAUUCUCUGUCUCGAACAGCCCUGCUUCUUACCCAUAAAAACACCCUACAUGUGACAAUACAGACGCAUAAAAACAGCCCAAAAUAGUACCUCAGUCCCUUCAAAGAAGGUUAUACUCCCACCGGGCACCGGCCCAAUCAUCUACAGCGGUCACACUAUACAGACGCAUCGCUAUUAUCGGUCGACACAAACCUAGCUACCUGCAAAGGAGGAUCUCUGAUCUCUGAUCCCUCCCUGUGUUGUUUCCCUUGUCCUCUG
rnacentral:lncRNA from 1 species